AAUACGAUGCUUCCUUCAUUAAAGACGUCACCAGGACGGUUAAACUCCCUUACAGAGGCUCCCUCACCGGGCAAGGGGGUCUUGAAAGCAGGAAAGUCAAGGCCUAGCACAAGGCCUCCACACAAUUCACUAAGCACUUGAGACGGCUUGGAUCGUACGGGAAUGAGAGACCGCAGGAGAAGGACAGGCAGCGCUUAUUAAAAGAAAGGUGCAGAGUGAAUAAUCUUACCUUAAUCAGAUCUGUGCGAACAUCCAACCAAUUGGAAGAUGCCUGUGAUCUGCUUCACGUGACAAGCCAGCACCCAGCAACAGAGCCUCUGCAUGGCCCCUUCCCUGUAAAUAUCUGUUAAAUGAAUGCUAGGUAGAUGCUUUGCUUUUAA